GGCUGUGUGGUCUAGUGGUAUGAUUCUCGCUUAGGGCUGCGAGAGGUCCCGAGUUCAAUUUCUCGGCACAGCCC